GGGCCGGUGGUGUAGCUUGGUCUUGCACAUCGCUCUGACACGGCGGAGAUCCCAGGUUCGAAUCCUGGCCGGCCCA
rnacentral:tRNA from 1 species